AAAAUAUCUCACUGUUCCCUCCUCACUCCCUUCCCAGGCGAAGGAUCCAGACCCAGAUGCGAUGCGAUCCCUCUUCCUUAUUCUCCUGUCAAUUUUCCUCUUCAUCGCCGUCAUUUUCUUCCCUGCAACGCCUCCCCAUGGCGUCGCUUCCCUCUUCCUCCCUUCCCCCUGCCUCGUCUUUUCCAAAUCCUCUCUCCCGCCCUGUGCUUAUCUUAUCCUGUCAUUUGUGGUGUAACUGAUGCCCGCCGUUUCGGCACCCUCUGACGUUUCCGUUUUCCUAUUCCCUAACACGUCAGGGGAUCUGGUCACGUGUCACUGGCCUUUCCCUGUGUACGUGUUGCAUGAGUCUGACUCCCCGGCCUGGAUGAGCAAUCCCCUAUCGAGAUGGAAUGGAUCAGAAUUGAGCGGGGGCGAGAGUGAGCAAAUAUCCAUGAGCCUUUUCCAUUCUAUUUUUGUGGCUGUGAAUUUUUGGUUAUUCUCCUUUUUCUUUUUUCUUUUUUCCUGCUCUUUUUUCCAUCGAUCUGUUAUCCUUCUUCCGCCCCUUUUUUGGUAGCAAACCCUAAAAUUUCCAAAUAUACGCCGUCUUAAAGCCCUUGGGAAGAAAAUUAAGGAUCCUUCGGAUUUUCAACUCUUUGCACAUUUCGUUGUUUUUCCUGGAAUGGGCAUCUCUAUUUUCAUCAGAUCUGGGCCAAUUGUGGAGGCAUUUGUUCCGUUGGUUUAUCAACAGCGCUUUAUUUUCUCGAGGUUUCCUAAUUUGGGCAUGCCUUUUGUAUUUAGUCCUCUCCUGUUGCUUCUUUCUUGGGACAUAGAAAUUGACAGAAGAGAGUGAGCACACAGAGGCACUUGGUAUAGCCGUAUACUAUUGCUUUUGCGUGCUCACUUCUCUUUCUGUCAGCUUCCAGUGCCGGAAAUUUGUUUCAUCGCUACCUGGCUCUGCUUUGUUCCCAUUUCCAAACCUCACCAUUCUUAUCCCUCCCACUCUCUCGGUGUGCAACGGAGCUGGAAUACCGCUGAAGAAGUUUAUAGCAUCCAGUAUCUGACAGUGAAAGGCAUUAUCUUCGGUGUUUAUUUGCCUUUCCACCUUUUUCUCCCGGAACUGUUGGAUUUUAUUCUGUUUUUCUCGGGUGGAUUCUACUAUUAUUAUUCAAUAUUUAAUAGCAGCAAUAGUAAUUUAUUAUUAUAUAUUAUCGGUGGAAACCUGAAAGCGUGACUUUUGAUGGUUGCCGCAGUAGCUACCCUAAGUACUGUGCAGGUUAAGCGGCAAAGAUACUAGCAUGGGACCAUUCACGUUACACAGUAUGGUCCUCACUCUUCACAAAUUUUCUUCGCAUUUCUUUCGUUCCUCCCUCUAUAUAAUCAUCAUCCUGAUUUCAUUCCUUUCCGUAUAAUUCCUGCGCCUGCGGAUGUGUUCACUCGUCUAGAUUCCGACUCCUUGAGGACUUUUAUUUAGAAUGGACUCUUUCAAUGUUAGUCAGUAACCCUUAUCAUUAGACUGUAGAUUCCUUUUGCUCGGAUUGCAAAUUCAUGAAAGUCGUCUGUGACUGCGCUAGUAUGAGUUGAGUUUUAUUUUUCCGCCUCCCUAAUAGUGUGCAAUUGCCGUCACUUGGAACUGGUUUUCCAAAAUAUAGAACGUAAUAUUUCAGAGAUUUACUAGAAAACCACAUCAGUUUUUCCUUAUGAUGCGAGAUCUAAUCUGUAAAUAAAUAGUCGGAAAAUUGACUGGAUCUGGCAUGUUCAUGAACUGAUGAUACCGAGCCUCCCUCCCCUUUUUUUUUUCCUGAUUUAUAAAUGCAGAUAAACGUAGAAUGGAUCGUUCUCGGAAGACAUUUUGCGUGCUUUCAUACGCCCUGAAAGCUUGUGGUUUGAUUAAGGACUGUCGGUAACUUAACAUGAAUUUUUUUCUGUUUACGUUAUAACAGUUCUUUGUAUUCCCCUUCUCAUCUCUAGUCAUUGGAACAUAGAAUUUAAUGGUCAAAUAUACUCCUUCUAAGGACAAUUAUCACUAUGGCAUUUCCUCUUUUCUAACAAUUACAAUUGCUCUUGAUUUUUCAGUUCCUUUUGCAAAAUAAUGUUUGAUUUUAAAUUUUCAGGAUGCGAUGGAAUUGACACGUUUAUAUGGAUCAUGCAUCAACGUGUCAUUGAUAGGUUACCAAUCUGUAACUUGUGUUUUUUUUUUUAACCCCCUUUUCAGUUUCUCUCUCGUUCCAAAGCCCGGGGUGCCUACUCUUGUUAACUUAAAUGGCAAUCUGGAGUUCCUCUGGCUUAUGCACUGGUUCGGAUGAUUGAUGCCUUAAAAUAUCAACAAUUUCCCUAUCUCUCACCGCCCUACCCCACCCAUUAUUCUUUAACGGAAAAGGCUAUGCUUCAUGACAAGUUUCGCAAGUGCCUUGUGUACAGAGAACUGAAGAGGUGACGGCCGGUGCAUACCACUGCAUAAUAUCUGGAUAAUUGGAAUGGAAUUUGGAAAAUGAAGAGAAGACAGAUAGAAAUAAAGGAUCGAUAACCUUGCUUGCAAGUUCGUGGUAACAUUACACCUAGGGCCAUCACGACGGAAGAAUUUAGUCAUGCCAUUUCCGGGAGCAAAAUGGUAUUCUCUCACAAGUGGUGUGGGCCUUUUGCGGUGCGGACUGCAAUUGCAAUUGCCCAAAGAUUUAACAAUAGGCCUUUGUUGAUGCAUAGAGUCGUAAUGGAUAAAAAUAAUGCAAAAGAGAGUCUGGUUCGGGUUUGCACCCACGAAGUUGAUGAUGUGGGAAGUUGUUUGACGGAGUAUGAGGAGAGUUUCAGUCAGCACACCUGGACCGAGGAGUUGGUACCAUGUUCGUUAAAUUUGGUUGGUAUUUAUCCAUACAGUUAAUUUGUGAACGAUGAACGGCUAUGUCUAAUCAUAAGCCAAGUUCGAGUUCUUAGAACGCGUCUCUCGAGAGCACACUUGGCGUUUAAUUAAUAAGGAGGUCCGGGAGUGAUCCAAGGAAGGGGUCUCAGUCCCUUCAUGUACGCUGAGAUUUAGAAUGGGGAAACCGAAAAUUGUGCCAAUCCCAAAACUUGGUUUGUGUAUAGUUGUUUUAUUAUUAUUAUUAAUUUCUCCUAUGAGCUAGUUAAACUAGAGGUGCCUGUUAUCAUCAUUUGUAAGUUAUCACUGACUCGAAUAACGAAUUGAACACUCUGGUACGAGAAGUGUUCGCGCCCGCGCCUUUUAGCAAGUUAGACCCAAUCGAAGGUGAUGAAUGAUUUCAAGAUGCUGUCGUUCGGAACUGAACUAAUCAGGUUGGAGAUCUGUGGCUGCCCCCCUUCACAAGUACUUCUUAAUUAGAAGGCUCGAAUAAUUGAUCUUGCAAAGGUCUUUCUUUACUUCUUAAGCUACUGUAAUGGGUUACUGGUUGGUCCUUGUUAUACAAAUUGCAGAACAGUUUCUAGGGUUGCUCUUACACUGUGCUUCUGACGACACACAGUUGUUGAAUGUUGACAAGCCCCUUCAGAUAAAGGGCAUGCCUCUUGUGGGAUAAUUACAUUUUCCAGGCUAUAAUCAAUAUUUCAAGGAUUAA